UACAGAGGGUGCGAGCGUUGUUCGGAAUCAUUGGGCGUAAAGCGCUUGUAGGCGGCCUGCCAAGUCGCGUGUGAAAUCCCCUGGCUUAACCAGGGAAGUGCGCGCGAAACUGGCGGGCUUGAGUGCCGGAGAGGGUCGCGGAAUUCCCGGUGUAGAGGUGAAAUUCGUAGAUAUCGGGAGGAACACCAGUGGCGAAGGCGGCGACCUGGACGGACACUGACGCUGAGACGCGAAAGCGUGGGGAGCAAAC
rnacentral:rRNA from 1 species